rnacentral:lncRNA from 1 species
CCCGGGGUAGGGGCCUCGGAACGCCGGGAACCUUCCUAAGUCUGGAGGAGGAUCAACACUCCUAGAUAAACAGGGACUCAUCCCGGCCAGGGAGACUCAGGCACGGGGUCCGCUUCGGGCCGCGCCGUCGGAGCCGCGGGAGCGACCCCGCCCGCCCAGCGCGCGGAGCGGCCGAGCGGGGACUACAAGUCCCGGCGUGCCCUGCGCGCGCUCCCCCCUGGGGUUCCGGAUGGUGAGCAGCGAAGGUAAGGCGAGCUCGCAGAGGCAGCGGCGGCGGCGGUGGAGACGGAGAGAGGCAGGCAGGCAGGCAGGCAGGGCGAGGGCGAGAGACGGAGGGAGGGAGCGAGCGAGCGAGGCAGACCAGACAGACAGACAGGCGGGCGGGCGGGCAGAGCGAGCCACCCGCCAGGCUGCGCUCAGCCCCGCUCGCAGCGGAGAGAGCAGAAGGCAGGAGGAGGGAGGGGAGGAGGGAGGAGGGAGGGAGAGAGGGAAUCCAGCUACCACCACCCAAAGCCAGCGUCUGCUUUCUGUCCUCAUUUCCUUUUCCCACCCAGCUCAGAGAGCAGAGAAAGGCAGAGAGAGCGAGAAAUAGAGACAGGCAGACAAACAGACAGACAGACAGAGCGGGAGGGAGGAGGGCGGCGGAGGAGGAGCAGGAGGACUACGCGGGGCGCCUUCCCUCCCAGCCGGGCGCCCGCGUCGCUGCCGCUGGCGGAAGAUAGACGCCCCCCGAAACCCCUCGCCUGGCUCGGACCCCGGAGCCGGCAGCCCAGCACUCCGCAACUACCGAGCCAGCAGGCGGCGGACCUCUAGAAAAAUCCUGGAUAAUUUCCCCAGCUCCGGCAGCAGCUUGCUUUGGGGGGCGACUGACUCUGCACCUUGCAGGUCAAAGAGUCCAUUAAAGGGACCCGGGAGGGAGGGCCUCCCUUUUCCCGGAUCCCUGAAAUCCAGGGGAGUUGAUGGGAGCUUGCCUGAUCGUCUCCUCAUCGGCCUGGACUCCAGAGCCAACCCAGCUGAGUGUGUGCAGAGAGUCCCAGGUGAGGGGCACCGCUCAGGACUCAGCAGAGACCACCCCGGAGAAGCUGAUGCUGGUGGAGACAGACCUGUCCUACUGAGCCAGGCCUCUGCAAAGCCUGCUCAGGCGCUGUCCACACCCCAAGGCCUGGGCUCAGGCCGAAGUGGCCCCACAACACCCCCAGCUGACAACCAGCGACUGGCAGAGUCCCCAAGCACGGGGGCCCUCUGUUUACCAGAGAUAACCAGUGUGACAGCCCAGGCGGCAGAGCCGAGGGUGAGUGCACCUUGGGGAAUGGGGAUGAGAAGGAAAGAUGCUAAUGAGUCAGUUUCAUGUGGUAUGGCCAUCUUGUCCUGCUGUUGGGCCUCUCUCUCCAAGACAGUGAUGCUAUCUAUCCUCUUGGACCCUAUAGACUAUCGAAGUGUAUGUAUACCCGAUUGAAGACCUGCAAGUGAUUUGGGCUUGGGCCAGGGGCUGGAACACAGAGGAACAAUGGAAGCAUAGAGAAAGGGCUCAU